UACGUAGGUGGCAAGCGUUGUCCGGAUUUACUGGGCGUAAAGAGCGCGCAGGCGGUCGAGUAAGUCGAAUGUGAAAGCCCCCCGGCUUAACUGGGGGAGGGUCAUUCGAUACUGUUCGACUUGAAGGCAGGAGAGGGCAGCAGAAUUCCCGGUGUAGAGGUGAAAUUCGUAGAUAUCGGGGAGGAACACCAGUGGCGAAGGCGG
rnacentral:rRNA from 1 species